CAAGAAUUUGGGUCAAUACCUUUUGUACUUCCUUUAUUUUCUACGAACUGUCUGCACUGACUUUAUACAGGUGAUGAUAGGAACCUCUCUGAAGCUGCUUCGGGUGACCUCUGAAAUUUCUGAGAAUGUCUAAUCAAACCACUCUCCAGAAUGAUGUAUUGAGCCCAAGAUUUCCCUUA